AUUGAACGCUGGCGGAAUGCUUUACACAUGCAAGUCGAACGGCAGCACGGACUUCGGUCUGGUGGCGAGUGGCGAACGGGUGAGUAAUGUAUCGGAACGUGCCCAGUCGUGGGGGAUAACGUAGCGAAAGCUACGCUAAUACCGCAUACGAUCUACGGAUGAAAGCGGGGGAUCGCAAGACCUCGCGCGAUUGGAGCGGCCGAUAUCAGAUUAGGUUGUUGGUGAGGUAAAAGCUCACCAAGCCUGCGAUCUGUAGCUGGUCUGAGAGGACGACCAGCCACGCUGGAACUGAGACACGGUCCAGACUCCUACGGGAGGCAGCGGUGGGGAAUUUUGGACAAUGGACGCAAGUCUGAUCCAGCAAUGCCGCGUGCAGGACGAAGGCCUUCGGGUUGUAAACUGCUUUUGUACGGAACGAAACGGUGAGCUCUAAUACAGUUUGCUAAUGACGGUACCGUAAGAAUAAGCACCGGCUAACUACGUGCCAGCCGCCGCGGUAA
rnacentral:rRNA from 1 species